AUUGCCCUUGAAGCUGCGAAUGGCUCAUUAAAUCAGUUAUAGUUUAUUUGAUGGUACCUACUUACUCGGAUAACCGUAGUAAAUCUAGAGCUAAUACGUGCGCACAUCCCGACUUCUGGAAGGGACGUAUUUAUUAGAUAAAAGGCCGACCGGGCUCUGCCCGCCUCGCGGUGACUCAUGAUAACUUCACGAAUCGCACGGCCUCGUGCCGGCGAUGUUUCAUUCAAAUUUCUGCCCUAUCAACUUUUGAUGGUAGGAUAGAGGCCUACCAUGGUGGUAACGGGUGACGGAGAAUUAGGGUUCGAUUCCGGAGAGGGCGCCUGAGAAACGGCGACCAGUUCCAAGGAAGGCAGCAGGCGCGUAAAUUACCCAAUCCUGACACAGGGAGGUAGUGACAAUAAAUAACAAUGUCGGGCCUUCGGGUUUGACAAUUGGAAUGAGAACAAUUUAAAUCCCUUAUCGAGGAUCAAUUGGAGGGCAAGUCUGGUGCCAGCAGCCGCGGUAAUUCCAGCUCCAAUAGCGUAUACUAAAGUUGUUGCAGUUAAAAAGCUCGUAGUUGAAUUUCUGGUUUCGGAGUGCGGUCUGCCCCGUGGGGUAAGUAUCAGCGCUCGGGAGCCAUCCUCGAGGAGAACAUGCCUGUGAUUGAGUUCAUGGGUAUGGGAGCCUCGUCUUUUACUGUGAGCAAACUAGAGUGUUCAAAGCAGGCUUACGCCGUUGAAUACAUUAGCAUGGAAUAAUAAAAUAGGACUCUGGUCUAUUUUGUUGGUUAGUACUCCAGGGUAAUGAUUAAUAGGGACAGUUGGGGGUAUUCGUAUUCAAUUGUCAGAGGUGAAAUUCUUGGAU
rnacentral:rRNA from 1 species